GUGUUCCCCUCCCCCCCUAGUGCCGCAGCUAACAGCAAUUAAGUCAUCUCCGCCUGGGGGAGUACGGUCGCAAGACUAAAACUCAAAGGAAUUGACGGGGGCCCGCACAAGCAGGUGGAGCAUGUGGUUUAAUUCGAAGCAACGCGAAGAACCUUACCUGGACUUGACAUCCCUUGCCCGCCCUGGAGACAGGUGAAGCCCUUCGGGGCCAGGAUACACGGUGGUGCCUGGUUGUCGUCCCUCGUGGCCUGAGAUAGUUAGGUUAAAUCCUGCAACCAACGCACACCCUUGUUAUUAGUUGCUACCCUAAGUUUAGCACUCCAAUGAGACAGGCUGGGUAACCAGUGAGGAAGGUGGGGAUGACGUCUAUCAUCAUCGCCCCUUAUGUCAGGGCUACACACGUGCUACAAUGGGAAGUACAAUAAGAGGCAAGACCCUGAGGUGGAGCAAAACUUAUAAAACCUAUCUCAGUUCUGAUUGUAGGCUGCAACUCCCCUACAUGAAGCUGGAGUUGCCACUAAUCGCCAAUCAUAAUGUCGCGGUGAAUACGUUCUCCGGCGUUGUACACACCGCCCGUCACACCAUGACAGCUGGUAGCACCCGAAGUCCUUGAGGUAGCCGUAAGGAGCCACCGGCCGAAGGUGGUAUUACUGAUUGGGGUGAAGUCGUAACAACGUGGCCCGUAAUAACGGUUGUCUCCCCCUCUUUUGUGGCCCACCGCCUUUUAAACAC
rnacentral:rRNA from 1 species